rnacentral:rRNA from 1 species
CUACGGGAUGCUGCAGUGAGGAAUAUUGCACAAUGGGGGGAACCCUGAUGCAGCAACGCCGCGUGGAGGAUGACGCAUUUCGGUGUGUAAACUCCUUUUAUAUGUCAAGAAAAUGACGGUAGCAUAUGAAUAAGCACCGGCUAACUCCGUGCCAGCAGCCGCGGCAAUACGGAGGGUGCAAGCGUUACUCGGAAUCACUGGGCGUAAAGGACGCGUAGGCGGGUUGGAAAGUCAGGUGUGAAAUCCUACAGCUUAACUGUAGAACUGCACUUGAAACUUCUAAUCUAGAGUAUGGGAGGGGGAGAUGGAAUUAGUGGUGUAGGGGUAAAAUCCGUAGAUAUCACUAGGAAUACCUAAAGCGAAGGCGAUCUCCUGGAACAUUACUGACGCUAAGGCGUGAAAGCGUGGGGAGCAAACAGGAUUAGAUACCCUCGUAGUC